CAUUCGGGAUCAACUUCGACGGCUCCCUCCACAAGGGUUGGGCCACCGGCUUCAGGUGUUACCGACUUUCAUGACUUGACGGGCGGUGUGUACAAGACCCGGGAACGUAUUCACCGCAGCGUUGCUGAUCUGCGAUUACUAGCGACUCCGACUUCAUGAGGUCGAGUUGCAGACCUCAAUCCGAACUGGGACCGGCUUUUUGGGAUUCGCUCCACCUCACGGUAUUGCAGCCCUUUGUACCGGCCAUUGUAGCAUGCGUGAAGCCCAAGACAUAAGGGGCAUGAUGAUUUGACGUCAUCCCCACCUUCCUCCGAGUUGACCCCGGCAGUAUCCCAUGAGUUCCCACCAUUACGUGCUGGCAACAUAGAACGAGGGUUGCGCUCGUUGCGGGACUUAACCCAACAUCUCACGACACGAGCUGACGACAACCAUGCACCACCUGUUCACCAGUGUCCAAAGAGUCCCGUAUUUCUACGGUGUUCUGGUGUAUGUCAAGCCUUGGUAAGGUUCUUCGCGUUGCAUCGAAUUAAUCCGCAUGCUCCGCCGCUUGUGCGGGUCCCCGUCAAUUCCUUUGAGUUUUAGCCUUGCGGCCGUACUCCCCAGGCGGGGAACUUAAUGCGUUAGCUGCGUCACGGAAUCCGUGGAAUGGACCCCACAACUAGUUCCCAACGUUUACGGGGUGGACUACCAGGGUAUCUAAGCCUGUUUGCUCCCCACCCUUUCGCUCCUCAGCGUCAGUUACGGCCCAGAGAUCUGCCUUCGCCAUCGGUGUUCCUCCUGAUAUCUGCGCAUUCCACCGCUACAACCAGGAAUUCCAAUCUCCCCUACCGCACUCUAAGUCUGCCCGUACCCACUGCAGACCCGAGUUGAGCCUCGGGAUUUCACAGCAGACGCGACAAACCGCCCUACGAGCUCUUUUACGCCCAAAUAAUUCCGGAUACGCUUGCGCCCUACCGUAUUACCGCGGCUGCUGGCACCGUAAUUAGCCGACAGCUUUUUUC
rnacentral:rRNA from 1 species